AUUGUACUCCCCCCGUCCCAAAAAUCUUGUCUUAGAUUUGUCUAAAUAUAAAUGUAUCUAGUCAUGUUUUAGUAUUUAGGUACAUUUAUUUUUAGACAAAUCUAAAAUAAGAAUUUUGGGACGGAGGGAGUACGUG
rnacentral:pre_miRNA from 1 species